UACGUAGGGUGCAAGCGUUGUCCGGAAUUAUUGGGCGUAACGAGCUCGUAGGCGGUCUGUCGCGUCGGAUGUGAAAAUCCAGGGCUCAACCCUGGACCUGCAUUCGAUACGGGCAGACUAGAGUUCGGUAGGGGAGACUGGAAUUCCUGGUGUAGCGGUGAAAUGCGCAGAUAUCAGGAGGAACACCGGUGGCGAAGGCGGGUCUCUGGGCCGAAACUGACGCUGAGGAGCGAAAGCGUGGGGAGCAAACAGG
rnacentral:rRNA from 1 species